UUCUUUUCUUUCCUGUAGGUUCAGGUGCAAGUCCAUCCUAAACUUUCCUCUACUGAAGAUGCAUUGCAGUAUGUGGAGGAGUUAAUUCUUCAGUUGUUAAAUAUGUUGUGUCAAGCUCAACCAAGAAGUUUUCUGGAUGUAGAGGAUCGUGUUCAAAAAAGUUUCCCCCAUCCUAUUGAUAAGUGGGCAAUAGCUGAUGCCCAGUCUGCUAUUGAGAAGAGGAAACGAAGGAAUCCGUUAUCUCUUCCGGUAGAAAAAAUCCAUCCCUUGUUAAAGGAAGUUCUAGGCUACAAAAUUGACCACCAAGUGUCUGUUUACAUAGUAGCAGUAUUAGAAUACAUUUCUGCAGACAUUUUAAAACUGGUUGGGAAUUAUGUGCGGAAUAUAAGACAUUAUGAGAUUACAAAACAAGAUAUUAAAGUAGCAAUGUGUGCUGAUAAGGUAUUAAUGGAUAUGUUCCAUCAAGAUGUAGAAGAUUUAAGUGCACUAACUUUAUCUGAUGAAGAACCCUCCACCUCAGGGGAGCAAACCUAUUAUGACCUAGUGAAGUCAUUUAUGGCAGAAGUUCGACAAUAUAUAAGGGAACUGAAUCUCAUUAUCAGAGUUUUUAGAGAGCCAUAUGCCUCCAACUCCAAAUUGUUUUCAUCUCAUGAUGUAGAAAAUAUAUUUAGUCGUAUAUCAGACAUCCAUGAACUUAGUGUGAAGUUACUGGGUCAUAUAGAGGACACUGUUGAAAUGACAGAUGAAGGUAGUCCUCACCCACUAGUAGGCAGCUGUUUUGAAGAUAUGGCAGAGGAAUUAGCAUUUGAUCCGUACGAAUCAUAUGCACAAGAUAUUUUGCGACCUGGGUUUCAUGAUCAUUUUCUAAGUCAAUUAUCAAAGCCAGGAGCAGCAUUUUAUUUACAGUCAAUAGGUGAAGGCUUCAAAGAAGCUGUUCAGUAUGUUCUACCCCGGCUCCUCCUCGCCCCUGUUUACCACUGUCUUCAUUAUUUUGAACUGCUAAAACAAUUGGAAGAAAAAAGUGAGGAUGAAGAGGAUAAGGAGUGCUUGAAGCAAGCAAUAACUGCCCUGCUAAAUCUUCAAAGCAGUAUGGAACGGAUAUGCUCCAAAAGCCUUGCAAAACGAAGGCUUAGUGAAUCCGCAUGCCGGUUCUAUACUCAGCAGAUGAAGGGGAAGCAGCUAGCAAUUAAGAAAAUGAAUGAAAUCCAGAAAAACAUUGAUGGUUGGGAGGGUAAAGACAUUGGACAGUGCUGUAACGAGUUCAUCAUGGAAGGAACACUCACACGUGUAGGAGCAAAGCACGAGAGACACAUAUUCCUAUUUGAUGGCUUGAUGAUUUGCUGUAAGUCAAAUCAUGGCCAGCCAAGACUUCCUGGUGCUAGCAAUGCAGAAUAUCGACUCAAGGAGAAGUUCUUCAUGCGAAAGGUACAAAUCAAUGAUAAAGAUGACACUAAUGAGUAUAGACAUGCUUUUGAAAUCAUCUUAAAAGAUGAGAACAGUGUUAUUUUUGCUGCUAAAUCAGCUGAAGAGAAAAACAACUGGAUGGCAGCAUUGAUAUCUUUGCAAUAUAGAAGCACGCUGGAAAGGAUGUUGGAUGUAACAAUGUUGCAGGAAGAAAAAGAGGAGCAGAUGAGAUUUCCAAAUCCUGAGCUUUACAGAUUUGCAGAACCCGACUCUGAAGAGAAUAUUGUGUUUGAAGAAAACAUGCAGCCCAAAUCUGGAAUCCCCAUCAUCAAGGCAGGAACUGUUGUGAAGCUCAUCGAGAGGCUGACUUACCACAUGUAUGCAGAUCCCAACUUUGUUCGGACUUUUCUCACAACAUAUAGAUCCUUCUGUAGACCUCAAGAGUUGCUGAGUUUGCUAAUAGAAAGAUUUGAAAUUCCAGAGCCUGAGCCAACGGAAGCUGACCGUAUUGCCAUGGAGAACGGAGACCAACCCCUUAGUGCAGAGCUGAAGAGAUUUAGGAAAGAAUACAUUCAACCUGUGCAGCUACGAGUAUUAAAUGUGUGUCGACACUGGGUAGAGCACCAUUUCUAUGACUUUGAAAGAGAUGCUGACCUUCUGAAACGUUUGGAGGAGUUCAUUGGAACAGUAAGAGGCAAAGCCAUGAAGAAGUGGGUUGAAUCCAUCACAAAGAUAAUCAACAGGAAAAAGCAGGCACAAGCCAUUGGGCCGAGCCACAACAUCACUUUUGAGAGCCCCCCUCCAGCAAUUGAGUGGCACAUAAGCAAACCAGGCCACACAGAGACUUUUGACUUGCUCACUUUGCAUCCCAUAGAAAUCGCUCGGCAGCUCACUUUACUGGAGUCAGAUUUUUACAGAGCUGUGCAGCCAUCAGAACUAGUUGGAAGUGUGUGGACGAAGGAAGAUAAAGAAAUUAAUUCUCCCAACCUUCUGAAAAUGAUAAGGCAUACAACUAACCUAACUCUGUGGUUUGAAAAAUGCAUUGUAGAAACAGAAAACCUAGAGGAAAGAGUAAUUGUAGUGAGCCGGAUAAUUGAGAUCCUGCAAGUUUUUCAAGAGCUAAACAACUUUAAUGGUGUCCUUGAGAUUGUCAGUGCUAUGAACUCCGCAGCAGUUUAUAGGUUGGAUCACACAUUUGAGCAAAUUCCAAGUCGCCAGAAGAAGAUCUUAGAAGAAGCUUAUGAGCUGAGUGAGGACCAUUAUAAGAAAUACUUGGCAAAACUCAGGUCCAUUAAUCCUCCUUGUGUGCCUUUUUUUGGGAUUUACUUAACCAACAUCUUGAAAACAGAAGAAGGCAACCCUGAAUUUCUCAAACGACAUGGGAAAGACCUUAUAAACUUCAGCAAGAGAAGGAAGGUAGCUGAGAUAACAGGGGAGAUCCAGCAGUACCAGAACCAGCCAUAUUGUUUAAGAGUGGAAUUUGACAUCAGGAGAUUUUUUGAAAACCUGAAUCCAAUGGGAAACAGUGUGGAGACAGAAUUCACAGAUUAUCUGUUCAACAAGUCACUGGAGAUAGAGCCACGAAAUGUCAAGCCUCCUCCAAGAUUUCCCAAGAAGUACAGCUACCCUCUCAAGUCCCCGGGUGUUCGUCCCUCUAAUCCAAGGCCAGGUACCAUGAGACAUCCCACACCCCUGCAGCAGGAGCCAAGGAAAAUCAGCUACAGCCGCAUCCCAGAGAGCGAGACGGAAGCCACAGCAUCUGCCCCGAACUCCCCCCGGACCCCGCUCACCCCACCCCCUGCUUCUGCCACUUCCAGCACCACAGACGCCUGCAGCGUGUUCGACUCAGACCCCUCCAGUCCUUUUCAUACAAGAUCUGCCUCUGUGUCAUCCAUAAACUUUACCAAAACUUCAGAUGAUGCUCCUGUCCCUCCUCCUGUUCCUCCACGAAGAAGACCAGAAUCUGCCCCAGCUGAAUCCUCCCCAUCAAAACGGCUUUCUCUGUCCAAAAUACACAUGACAAAACAGAUAUGUUUGUAAGUAUUCUGACAUGGUUUAUCCAUAAACCUGCAUGCUGCUCUUCGACUCCAGACCAGGCUGGGACAGUAAUGGAUGGCAGCUGUUGAAGAAAAGGAGCUCUGUAAUGUCCUCUGCAGUAGGAUGGCUGACUUAAACAGGGAGUGUAGCUAUGGAGAGGUGUGGUCUAGAAGAAUCUAAGGAGAUGAAGAUCUGUCACAAUGAGCUAUACCAACAACAGGAUCUUGACCAGAAGCCUGGAGAGUGACUCAGCUGAGUUCUGACUAAGAGUCUUAGACUUGUGUAGGGAACAGUCUGCUUGCAUGGCUGGACUUGUAGGGAUGCAGGACUGUGUAAAUAAUGCUGCCUCAGGGACCAGAGAAGCACCUGUUUCUUCUUCCAAUGGAUGCAGCCUUCUGGCUGAUUCAGUGCAAGGGGCAACAGCGUUAUUUAAAGGCAACGUUUAUUUGGCAUAGGAAGAAAAAUAAUCCAGAGCACACACAUACACUAAAGAUGGAUUUGAAGUGGAUCCUGCAACAGGUUGUGUAUGUGUGGUGCUGAGCAUCAUUCAUUCAUAUUAUUUACAUUUGCAGAUUCUGAGCAGGUACAAGGACAUCUGAAGUGGUAAGUAUAGGCUUGGAAGUAAGAACUCACAGAGAAUCAGAAAGAAAUAACCAUCAGUUCUGGCUGUGCCUUAAAUCACUAAAAUAGAAGCUGAAAUCCACAUGCAUUUUACAAGCAAGGGUCUGCCACUUUGGAAGAAUUUCCUCACCCAGGAGAUGUUAGCAGGUAGGUUUUUUUUCUUUGUCCUGUUUCUGUCCUGGUAUCUGCCUGGCAAAUAUGAAAAGCAGGUUUGUUUUGUGAUGGAUAAAAGUGUCAUUACAUAUAUGAGACCAGAACCACAAGAAUCAGAGCCCUUGACAGCAUCAGUGCCUUACAAUGGACACUUGUCCAUAAUGAUACAGCUCUGAUUCCAUGGACAAACAGUUCUGUCUGAGGCUGAUUCCUGUGCAGAACAAACAGGCUUUGCUGAUGCUUCAGUUACAAGUAUCUGGCUCUUCCUAUGUAAUUUCUAUCCUGGCCCUGCAGAGUCUGACUAAAGCUGCCAAGUCCUAGGAACUGUCUGAUUCAGUGGCUGGUCAGCAUGGAGCAGUCCUGACUGGAAAGGGAUGGGACAGGGAAUUUGUAAUUUUAUGAGGAUGUGAGGGAAAGGGAAGGAGAUGGAAGAGGUUUUUUUUUUCCAUUAAAAGCCUUACAUUAAAAAAAAAUCUUCCCAGAGCAGUUUCCAAAAGCUAGGGGAGGAAAGUGUGGUACUUCUUUCUAUAAGGAGAAGUGGAUAUUUGUUUCAUUAAAAUCUCUGGGAGAGGAACCAGCUAGAACAUUUUAAUCUUUGGGGUUUUGCUUGGUCACGUUCUUGAAAUGUUGGGAAAACCUUGAUUGCAGUAAAGGAUGGGUUUUGUCUGUCUGGAUAGCCCUUUUCACACAUACCCCACUGCCUCCAGCAGAGGAGGAAAAGCAGGUGGUAGAUGCAGGUCAGUCAACACUGGGGAGCUCUGGGCCCUGCAUCUGCAGCAGGUGUUGGCCACUGCAUCCACAGGCACCAGCUCUGGGCUCCCCUGCCCUGCUGCCAUGGCCAGGAGAGCCGUGCAGCUUGGUGGGUGCUCUUCUCUUGGCCCCAAAAUCAGCCACCCUUGUGCUGAUGCGGGGAGUCCCAAGCCCCCCAUCCCACAGUAUUUCCCCCAAGGCAUUGCUGUUGGCCCCAUGGAGACAGUUCACAACUUUUUAAGGUGAAGCUGUCCUUUAGACAGACCAUUGUCUCAGGCUUGUCAAAACAAGGUGAUAAAACCACAGUUGCUCUUGAAACUGCCCUCAGAACGUGCCAGCUUCAGGUGACAUCGGAGCUCAGCAGUACUGCACUGGUAACAGCACUGUGCCAGUGAUGCUCUCGCUGCUGGUGCGUGACAUGGGUACCGCAGCAGAGCUUCUCUCAGUCUUCUGCAGAGGUCAGUUCCUGAGCGUUUGUCAUGUCCAGGUGUGAGGAGGGUGGCCUGUGUGCAGCCUCGCUGAUCUUGCACAAGAAGGAGAGCUAUGACUCUGAACAUGGUGCACCAUCAACCUUCCUGCCCUAGUGCCUCAGUUUUUAGCUGGAGGAACCUUUCCAAAGCUGCAUGUGAUGGGGCUCAUGAAGGUGUCAGGCCAGAGAGAUAGCAAAGUGUGUUCCAGGUGUGUUACAGACCGGGAGCCAGGACACUUUGGCACUACCAGCAUUGAUCCACACUGGGGAUAAGGUGGAGAAGAGUCUGUCUCGUGGCAGGCCCUGGGCCCAGCCUUCAUCACCUGCCUGGAGACACGGGCGAUUCUGAGAGCAGAAGCAGUGAUUCCUACAGCAGAAAACAAUUCAGGAAAACUGCAUUCACAUAAAAGGUGAAAUGGGAUUUUGGCGAGUGAUGGAAGUCCAAAAGAAAGGAUGUUGCUGAUUAGGCAGUGCAAUGCUCAGGUGCUUCAGCUGAUGCUUCUUAGACCCUCUCAAACCACCUGGGUAAUGCGAGCUGGCCUCCUGGAAUACAUCUUUGAUGGUGCUUUUUUUUUUGGAAAG